rnacentral:rRNA from 1 species
GACGAACGCUGGCGGCGUGCUUAACACAUGCAAGUCGAACGGAAAGGCCCAGCUUGCUGGGUGCUCGAGUGGCGAACGGGUGAGUAACACGUGGGUGAUCUGCCUCUAACUUCGGGAUAAGCUUGGGAAACUGGGUCUAAUACCGGAUAGGACAAUCGUUUAGUGUCGGUUGUGGAAAGUUUUUUCGGUUAGGGAUGAGCCCGCGGCCUAUCAGCUUGUUGGUGGGGUAAUGGCCUACCAAGGCGUCGACGGGUAGCCGGCCUGAGAGGGUGGACGGCCACAUUGGGACUGAGAUACGGCCCAGACUCCUACGGGAGGCAGCAGUGGGGAAUAUUGCACAAUGGGCGCAAGCCUGAUGCAGCGACGCCGCGUGGGGGAUGACGGCCUUCGGGUUGUAAACCUCUUUCGACAGGGACGAAGCUUUGGUGACGGGACCUGUAUAAGAAGCACCGGCUAACUACGU